rnacentral:rRNA from 1 species
GACGAACGCUGGCGGCGUGCCUAAUACAUGCAAGUUGAGCGCUGAAGGUUGGUACUUGUACCAACUGGAUGAGCAGCGAACGGGUGAGUAACGCGUGGGGAAUCUGCCUUUGAGCGGGGGACAACAUUUGGAAACGAAUGCUAAUACCGCAUAAAAACUUUAAACACAAGUUUUAAGUUUGAAAGAUGCAAUUGCAUCACUCAAAGAUGAUCCCGCGUUGUAUUAGCUAGUUGGUGAGGUAAAGGCUCGCCAAGGCGAUGAUACCUAGCCGACCUGAGAGGGUGAUCGGCCACAUUGGGACUGAGACACGGCCCAAACUCCUACGGGAGGCAGCAGGAGGGAAUCUUCGGCAAUGGACGAAAGUCUUACCGAGCAACGCCGCGGGAGUGAAGAAGGGUUUCGGAUCGUAAAACUCUGUUGGUAGAGAAGAACGUUGGUGGGAGUGGAAAGCUCAUCAAGUGACGGUAACUACCCAGAAAGGGACGGCUAACUACGUG